GCUAACUGGCAGUUUCCAGGAACUUAGUCGCUCUUCAACGUCAUAAUAUUUGUCACCAUUUUACUGACUGAUGUUGAUGGUUAGUGAUCUCUCCCAACUAGAAUAAAAGCUUCAUGAAGGCAGAGAUUAUCGUUUCAUUGUUGUCAAUGCUCACUGCUGAUGCUCAGCACAAGGUUUUGAUAAUAACUGAUGGUUAUACGGUACUUACUAUGUGCUUUGUAACUAGGAUGACUAUGUAAUCCAUAUUCCGAACCGCGACGCUUUUUAGAUCAAAUGGAAGGCCCUAUUAAUAAUUAUGCCAAGACAACAGAAAUAAUCAAGAAUGUCCUGGGCAAAGUAGGAUUCACAGUUACUCUGCGUGUUACUGCUCUACACCAACUAUAUGCGUGUUUUUCGGAUAUUUCGUUUGCUCCUCAUUACAGCACUUGAGGGGAUUACUGUUCUCCUGUCUUACAGACGAGAUCUGUACCGUUGUUACCCCCAUUUUACAAAUGAGGAAGCUGUGACUUAGAACGACUAACUAAUUUAGGUAAGACCGCACCACUAAAGCCAGGGUUUGAACCCAGGUAGUCUGGCCUCAGUGCUCAUGAUCACAUAUUAACUUGCAAAAUAUUUGUGGCUUAACGAAUGAACUGGCUACACGCUCUUCCAUAUCCUUUGUAGUUUCAAGUUCUCUCCAUCAGGAGACGCUGAAGAGAGAUGAGCCCGUCUUUUUUCCCCAUAACGAAGCAUGUAACUCGGUCUCUUUCUUCACUUAUGAAAAUGAUGAUGAAAAGCUUGCCAUGACCCUAGCCGAGCGAGGCACAUGAAUACCACCAGUGAUAGACAUCAGCGUUAAGUGCCCCUUGAUAUGGUGCACUGAGAAGUACAUGACCUCUGCAGCAUCCCUCCUAACCGUGCAUAGCCUCAAUCUCAUAGUGAGAAAUCACCGGAGAAGCCCACCCUUAACUGAUGGACACCCUUCAAAAAAUGUCAGAGUCAUAAAGACAAAGAAGAACUGAGGAAUCGAAUCGUUCCAGGUUGGAAGAAAGUAAGGAGAGAGGACAAAACGAAAUCCAAUGCGCAGUCCUGGAUUGGAUCCUUGGGCAGAGAAACAGUGGAAAAACGGGUGAAAUUCGAACAAGCUUUGAAUUUAGUUAAGAGUAUUAGACCGAUAUUAGGAUGUACCAUCAUUUCUUUUGAUAAAUAUCUGAUGGUUCUGUAAGAUAUUAACAUAAACAGAAGUUGGGUAAAGGGUAUACAGGGACUCUGUUCUGUGUUUGCAAUUUAUAAAAAAGUCUAAAGGUAUCUUUUUAAAAAGCCUAUCUUGAAGACUUUUAGAAUAAAAUGUUCUGGGAAAUCUGUAGUUUGAUUUUUAUUUUUACUGCUCUUAAUUGAGCUCAGUUUGUUACAUUAGUGAGCCUGCAAAGCUUUCUUGUUUACGGUAACUUAUCAGAGUUACUUUUUCUUCUUUUUAACUUUCCUAAUUUAGUCAGCCUCUUGGGCCAGGCAAUAACCCGAAGUGCCAGGGGCCUUGGUUUUGUUGAUAAUUCAACAGACGGUACAGUUUCACAGCUCAGAACUCUUCUGAAGUCUCAGGCUUAAUGAGGACAUUAACCUGCCCCCGGAGGUUUGCACGAUUCCAAACAUAUUUUUCACCUAUUGCCUUGGUACUAAUUGGAGGUAGGUGUGGGACCAGAGGCCAUUAAUUUCUCAAGGACCAAGGACCGUAAUUUCUGGUUGAGAGUGAAAGAGAACAGAGAGCAGUGCUAAUGAAUGGACUCCAGCUUCUCAUCAGAACAAUGAAAACAAGAACCCUUUAGAAGAUGCUAUCUUUGGCAUCAGAUCUCCACAUGGCAAUGGGAGAUGUGCUCAGCACAAUUACGAAGUUGUUAAACUUUGUUACAGCAACGCCUGCCUCCUGUCAUUUUUCUGCUCCUUCUUACCUGAUGCUUUGCCUCAUACCCUCAACCAUAUCGUGCCCAUUCUUUGCUAGAGACCCCCUCGUGCUUCUGAUUGAUCACUGCCGUUAAGAUAUAUCUGUUGUAGCUGAAUCCAAUCUGUCCUCCCUGCCUAAUUCUGCCUCCAUAACUUCAUGUGGCCUUGUGAGAAAUUAACAAGGACUUCCUUUUGUAUUUUCUGCCAUUGCACCUUAGAGAGGUCUUUAAGGCCCAAAGACAUGAUUAAAUGUUGGAUGUAAUUUCCUCUGACGUGUUGAUUGAGGCAGAAAGUUUUCUAAAGGCGAUUUUUAUCAGGAAUGUAAGAGCUGGGAUGUCACAGAUUUAUGAUGCUUGUCUAUGUCGUUGAUCACUUGAAGAUUAGCCUGAUUUUCCACUUGUUGAGAGGACGCUACACCCUUCCAAAUGGUUAGUCCAAUGAAUAUGAACUUAGAUUCUGAUCUUAUCUAAUUUAUAAUGAUUCAGGAUCCAAGGAUUUGAUUUUAAGUGUUAACUCAGCCCAGAUAUUUCUAAUGUAUAUUUUUUACUGCUUAAAUAAUGCAGGUCCAGAUACUUUAAAAGAAAUUAUCUGGUAAGUAAUGAGAAUGCAUACAGUUUUGCCGAUAGUUUCUUGCCUUUUCCAACUCUUACAAAUCUGAACGCCAACUACUCAAAAAAUUAGAAUUUUAGAUAAAUAAUACAUAUUUUUUGCUAAUCUGCUUCAAUCACAUCAUUUUACAAGUAAAUAAACAGAAAGAACAAGUAAUUUACCUAAAAACAUAAUUCGCUUGUGUUCUAGAUAGAACUAGAAUCUAGACUAAUAGGUGGCCAGAUGUUCUUUCCACCAUAGGUUAUUGUUUUUAAUUUUUAUUUAAAAAGUUUUAACAUCUUUACUGAGGUAUAAAUUGAUAUACAAAGAAUUGCAUAUAUUUAAUGUGUACAAUUUGAUGAGUCUGGGCAUAUGCAAACACGCAUGAUGCCAUUACCACAAUCAAUAGACAUGCCCCACACCUCCCAAGUUCCUGUGUGUGUGUGUGUGUGUGUGUGUGUGUGAAGCACAUUUAACAUAGGUCUGCCCUCUUGACAAAUUUUGGCGUGUACAGGACUGUAUAGUUAGCUAUACUGUAUUUCUUGUACAGCAGAUGUCCAGAAUUUAUUUAUGUAGUAUAACUAAAACUUUACACCCAUCGAACAACAAUUCCCCAUUUCUUUUACUCUGUAGCCCCUGGCAACCACUAUUGUAUUCUUUGCUUCGAUGAGUUUGACUAUUUUAGAUACCUCGGAUAAGUUGAAUCAUGCAGUAUUUGUCCUUCUGCAAUUGGCUUAAGUCACAUAGUAUAAUGUCUUCUAGGCUUAUCAAUGUGGUCACAAGUGGCAGGAUUGACCUUUUUUAAAAAAUUUGUAAUAACCGUAUUUAAACUGACAUAUUAAAAUAUAAAAUUAUAUUAAAGUUUAGUGCAAUAAGAAGAGAA